rnacentral:lncRNA from 1 species
CUAGCCUUCCCCCAAUUGCUGCCACUUCCACACACCUUUUUUAUGUCUUAAAAUCCUAUUUUGUUAUAUCUCUAACUGUACAACUUCUAAAACAAGUAGUUGAAGUUAUUUUAGAAGUAAUUUUAUUCUCAUGUAGCCUACACAAAGGGAAAUAGGAAAGGAGAGGCUAAUGAAAAAUGGUGUGUAAAUUUCUGAUAAUGUUCAGACGCGUUAAAUAUUCACUUAAGCAUAACCUUUCUGUUUACACUCAUGGAUUCUGUAGUUAAAAAAAAAAAAAAAGCACAUACUGUUGUAUGCAUCCAUUGUUGCUGACUGUCUACCUGAAAGUGCAUCAAAUGCCUCGUCCCAGGAGGCUGUUCUGAAUAGAGUAGAGAGGGAGGGAGGGGCAUGUCAUCAUAGGCAGUUCAGAGCUCUGGAAUGACACCAUGGUCCCUUGAGACUAGAGUACUGACAUCCAACACAAGUCCUUGUUUUUCUGCAAGGCUUUUUGUUAGACAACAGGCAGCACUCUAUGAAGAUUGAUACAGAAGUGUUGGGCUUCGUUUGCUGGAUCAUCAAACGGAUUGAUAUUAUACUCCAGCAGUGGAUGAAGACAAAUGCCAGAUGCAUGCGAUGUGAAUUCUGUAUGCCUGUAGCAAAGAGCAGAGGUGCCCUGCACUCUUUUCUUCUAGAUGGCACUCAGAUCCAGAGUGGUUACAGAGCAGUCAGAGCCAAAGCAGCAGAAAGAUCAUUAGAGAGGAUGGAGCUGGAAUGGCAGAGAGAAGAAAAUGAGGACAAAAUACUUCUGCAGCUUGCCAGAUGAUGUAAAAAGUUAUGAAAGUCCAUCCACAUAAUGGAAGAGGAUGAGGUUACAUUCUGCUUUCAGGCACUAUUUGGGGAGAUCUUUUUCAAACUGGAAUUUAUAUGUAUUCAUCAUUUGUUGGCUUGUAGACAUUUUAUGUUUCUCUAGUACAAUAGUUGGAUAUUCACUGAAUGCAACAGAAUUAUUGCUCAGAUUUUUUCAAUAACAGUACCCAAAAGUUUC